CUAAUCUAAUAUAAAUCAAAAUUCUGAAAUAUAAAAGUCUAUCGAAAACAUGAAUGCGAUAAUUAUAAAAAGUUUCUAAUUCGAAAUACUUGACUUAAGAAGAUAGCUAUAUUAGCGUAUGAUGACUUCUGUCAUCAAUGCAGCCAUCUUCGCCACGCAAAUAAGCAAUAUAGAACAAAACUGAAGGCGCAAGAUGGGUGGCAAGUAUCAUUGAAAGCAUUGUAAUUGUAAAAUGAUACGAUUCCAUUUGGGGUAGCAAUGCCGUGAAAAUUGAUAAAAGUGAAAUGACUAAAUAAAGCGUUGACAAAGUUUUGCAUGAAAUUAAAUUUCGAGUUGCUACUCCUGAACCUGCCAACAAUGAGCUUUCCAUUGAAUUUAAGUUAAUUGCUGUCGAAUUUGGAAUAAUUAGUGAAGUAGAUAGCAUGGUAAAAGAUAUUAGUGAUAUUACUAAGCAUAGAACAUUUGUAUAAAAGUAUUCGAUAUGCUGGUCUCCUUUUAAAUAUUUUAUAAUUGAAAAACAAUAUAAUACCCAUAUAAAAAGAAAUGACGAAAUAGUUAACCCAAGAAGUUUAGCCCAAGAACAAAUGUAUUUAAAAUUUCCAACCAUUGUUCCAAUGGAUAACGCACAACUCCUUUGAUUAAAGGCAAAUAGCCUAUUUUUUAUCCUAGAGAUAUUUGUUGUGUGAACUUUUCUAGGCGGAACCCUCGCUACCUUUGCAAUCCAUUGUUGUUUAUAUGCUGCGCAUGAAAUCUGGCUCUGCGCUUCGACAUCUUUGAGUGACGAAUGAAAAUGCCCGAUUCCACCUACAGUUUGUUUAUUUUGCUGCAUUGAUUUAAACGAGUUUUAAGGCAAUAUGAAAAUACCUUAGUGCCUAAUGAGGUUCUGAAUUGAAAUAAAGUAGAUAAUUAUUUAUUCUCCCUCAAUUUAUACAAGCCAGUGACUUGGGU
rnacentral:antisense_RNA from 1 species